rnacentral:piRNA from 1 species
GCUGGUGUUGGUGAAUUUGAGGCUGG